UUGAUAUUUAGUUAUAUUAAGUAAUUAAUUCUAAAUUUGCCAGAGAAUAAUUUUUACAGUCUAAACUAUCAAUUUCUUUUUUUUCCAAUUUUGUAAGGGUAUUCUAGUCUUCAACUUUUACGAAAUGUCAUUGGUAAGAUCAAAUUAAUUUGAUAGACUUCUUUAAGCUUAAUGGUUUUAAAUAUACUCAUUAAUGAUGAUAUUUAUUAAAUAAUUUUAACAACGACAAGUUAAACUAAUAAUGUAUGUUUCAAAAUCAAAAGAUAGUGAACAAAUAUAUGAAUACUAUAAUAAAAAAUUAAUAAAUUUUGGAAUCAGUUCUUCAAAGUAUUUUUGUGAAAAAUAAUACUUAAAAGUGAUUAUAUAAAUACUUAAAAUUUAUAACAUGCAGUUAAUUUUAAUAAUUUGAUAUAUUUUCUUAACCAAUUAAUCGGGAUGGGAAUUACGAAAUAAAUUAUUAUUAUAUAAAACAUUUAUAAAAUAUACUAAAUGAUAGCGAUUAAAAGUAAUUUUUACAAUGAUUCAUAAUAUUUUAUUUUAAUAAUAUUUUAUAGGAAAAUUUAAGUAUUUAUUAUAUAUAUAUGUGUGUGUAUUUAUAUAUAAUGAUAUAAAUUUUAUAUAAUUAACUAAAAAUAAUACAAUUUAAUAUAUAUAUUUAUAUAAUGAUAUAGAUUUUUAUAUAAUUAAUUAAAUAAAUAUAAAUAAUACAAUUUAAUAUAUAUAUAUAUAUAUAUAAUUUUGUAAAAAUAGUAUUAAAAAAAUUGUCUAGCCAUUAUUAAAAGGACAACUUAUUUCGUUAUUUUGAAAUAAUUUAAUUAUUUAUUUAUUAAAGAUAUAAAAUAUUUUUUAUUUAUUACAGGUAAAAUUCUUCUUUCUUUUAUAAAAAGUGAUAAAAAAAGAAGUUAUUAAAUAAUGUAUAACCCUCAAAUAUAUAUUAUCUAACAUGUUGGAAAUCAAACAAAGGUAUAAAAAACAUAAGAUAAUUCAAAAUAUGUUUAUGGUACACUUUUAAACUUAUAUAAAUACAAAAUAUUUAUAAAAUCAAGCCAAAUAAAAUGUUUAUAGACUUUGAUAUGCCCUUUACCUAUAUUUGUAUCUACUUAUGUCAUCGUGGUUUGUAAAACAAUAAUGAGAGUAAAGAUAGGUUAAUGAAAUAAAGUUCUAAGAAAGUGUAAAUAAAAAUAAAUAAUUAGAUUUAAAAUUCAUAUACAAAUAUAUACAUAAAAAAUUCAUUUUUUUAUCAGUAAAUAAAAAAAUUCAUUUAUUAACUACAAGAAUUCAAUUUCAUUCUAAUACCUAUAUACAAUAAUUAUAUGGACCACAUGGAUUUAUACAUUCAAGAUAUUCAACAAACGGAAUAUCAACUGACGCCUUUCAUAAGCCUCGUAUUAAGUUGACUUUAUCAAAUAGUAACAUCUAAUCCAAUACCAAAGACUUAUAUUUACAAGUGAAUAUAAGAGAAGGGAUCAGGAUAAGUUCAAACAUCCAAAAUAGUGUGAUACAAAUGAUCAAGGUAUGUAUGAGUUUUCUCAUCAUCUUCUCACCAACUGAUAUCUUAGUCUACAUGACUUAGACCAUCAGUGAAGAUAGAUGAUAUAUGUUAAAACACAGGUGUUAAUACUUAAUACACAAAUGAAACAAUAAUUCAUACAUUAUCACAUAUUACCUAAAUUUCAUACAAAUCCAUCACUCUGAUGCAAUACAUACCAUUUAAACAUUCCACAAAUCAAUUGAAUAUACAAACUAGUAUUUAUCUUACAUUUUGAUAAGUGUUAGAUUUACCUGUUUUAAACACAUAAGUUGUAUUAAUUUAAUCAACUUUUGGCCUUAGAAAGUUAUAAUCAUUUACAAUUUAUACAAACGAAACAAGAGCAAUCGAGCAAAAAUGGCUAAUGUUGGGAAAAUAGUUCAAGCUCAGAGAAUUGGCGUGGAACGCAUGGAUCUUGAGUUUGAGCUUUGAUAUUAUCCGGAGGAAGCAUCUACCUAUGUGAAUGGGCCAAAUAUGCAAAAGUUCAAGUUGCUUCUUGAACCAAAACAUGAAACAAGUUAUGAGGAGAAGAAAGAGAAAAUAAAAUCUACAAUAUCUUAAACAGAAUUGGAAGCAAAUCUUCUGCAAAAUACAAGAAUUUUGGAAAGUUAGAAACUUGGAAACUAUUAACAAAAUAUAAACUACAAUAUUUUUCCAAGAUCCUUGGAGAAGAAAAGCCUAUAAAAGGACACCAACAUCAAGGAGAGAGGGGGAACUUCAUAGGGUUUUCUUAGUUUAUUUUCUUCUUUGUAAUUAUUUUGUUUUGCCUUUGUAUGGGAGGCUAAACCUUUUUGGUUGAUUCCUUUGUAAUUUUCCAUUGAGCUCUGAGGUUUUGGUCAAUAAAAGUUUCUAUUUUUAAUUCUCUAUAUAGUAGUUGUUUUAAUAGUCUAAUCUCCUGGAAAACUAGUUUUUGUGAGAGGUUGUACUUGAACGCAUGAUUGAGAGUCUUCCUUAUCUUAAACUUUGGUUUCUUAGCUAGUUCGCAUUGUUCUUAUUAAAGGAAAAGAAAGAAUAGGGUAAAUCUCUUGUGUAUAUUGAACACAUAGAGUUAUGUUUAUAUAGGAAAAGAAACAUAUGGGCUAAGCCCAUUACAUAAAUAUGAAAUAUCUAACAAUAUCUAUAAUAUCUCAUAAUAUCUAAUAAUAUCUAACACUCCCCCUCAAGCUGGUGCAUAUAGAUCAUAUGUACCCAACUUGUUACAAAUGUAAUCAAUCAUAGGCCCUCGUAAGGGUUUAGUAAAAAUAUCUGCUAAUUGAUUAUUUGAAUUAACAAACUCAGUCUUGAUAUCUCUCGAUAUAAUAUUUUCUCGAAUGAAAUGACAAUCACUCUCAAUAUGUUUGGUCCUUUCAUGAAAAACUGAAUUUGAGCUAAUAUGAAGAGCAGCCUGAUUAUCACAUAUAAGUGUCAUUUGAGUGACCUCUCCAAAUUGCAAUUGUUUAAGUAACUGUUUAAGCCAAAUAAGCUCACAAGUAGCCGAGGCCAUAACUCUAUAUUUUGCUUCUGUACUGGAUCUUGCCACAACACUUUGUUUCUUGCUCUUCCAAGAGAUCAAGUUAUCACCAAUGGAGACACAAUAACUAGAAGUUGAUCUCAUAUUAGAUGGAGAUCCUGCCCAAUCAACAUCUGAAUAACAAACGACUUUAGUAUGGUUAUUAUGACCAUAUAACAAACCUUUUCUAGGAGAGCCUUUAAUGUACUUCACUAUACGAAUGACUGCAUUCCUAUGAUCUUCACAUGGAGAAUUAAGAAAUUGACUCACCACACUGACUACAAAGGAAAUAUCAGGACGAGUAACAGUUAGAUAGUUCAAUUUUCCAACUAAUCUCCUGUACUUCUCAGAAUUUGAAAGAGGAUCCCCCUAAUUGGGUAGAAGCUUGACAUUGGGAUCCAUGGGAGUAUGAAAAUAUUUCGAAUUCAUCAACCCAAUUUCCUCCAAAAUAUCUAAUGCGUAUUUUCUUUGAGAGAUAACAAUACCAUUAUUGGAUUGUGCUACCUCAAUCCCCAAGAAAUAUCUGAGUUUGCCAAGAUCUUUGGUUUGAAAGUGUUGAAAAAGGUGUUGUUUUACUUGUGAGAUGCCAUGGUGAUCACUGCUUGUAAGAACAAUGUCAUCAACAUAUACUACAAGACAGAUACACCCAAUACUCGAGUGACGAUAAAAAACUGAAUGAUCUCCUUCACUGCGAGUCAUACCAAAUUGUUGAACAACAUUGCUAAAUUUUACAAACCAAGCCCUAGGAGACUGCUUGAGGCCAUAUAAAAAUUUGCGAAGACGACAUACUAAUCCAAAAGACUCCCUCUGAGCAACAAAAUCGGGAGGUUGCUCCAUAUAAAUUUCUUCAUGCAAAUCCCCAUUAAGAAAAGCAUUUUUGACAUCCAAUUGAUAAAGAGGCCAUUGUUGAAGAGUAGCCAUAGCUAUGAAUAAGCGAACAGAGGCCAUCUUUGCCACUGGAGAAAAAAUAUCAGCAUAGUCUAAACCAAAAAUUUGGGUAUAACCCUUAGCCACAAGACGAGCUUUGAGACGAUCAAUAGUACCAUCAUGACCAACUUUGAUAGCAAAAAUCCACCUGCAACCAACAACAAAUUUCCUAGAUGGUAAAGGAACAAGUUCCCAAGUUUCAUUAUUCUGAAGCGCAUUCAUUUCAUCAAGCAUGGCCUGACGCCAACCAAAAUGAGCUAAGGCAUCACCUACAAAUUUUGGAAUGGAUACAGAAGAAAUAUAUGAAAGGCAGGUAUAAAAGGGUUGAGAUAGUCUAUGGUAACUCAAAACAGUAUAAUGUGGAGAGGGAUUACGAGUAAAACGUAUACCUUUACGGAUAGCAAUAGGAAGAUUAGGUUCAACUGUAGGAGCCGGAGGGGGAUGAGGUGUUGGCACCAGAAUAGAGUCUGCUGAUGGACGAUGAGAUGUUUGACAACGACUAUGAAGAGUUGGUGGCAGUGGUGAAUCGUUAGGUGCACUAGGCACAACAAGAGGAAUAUUAACUUGAUUAGAUGAAGAAAUUGAAGGAGAAGGACAAGACUUAAAGUAAAGGGAAGAUUCACUGAAGGUGACAUCUGCUAAAAUAAAAUAACAGUUUAAAGAAGGUGAGAAAUAUUUAUAUCCUUUUUGUGAUCUAGUGAACCCUAAAAAGACACAUUUGUGUGACUUAGGAGAUAAUUUAUAAAGACCAGGACUAAAAUUUUGAACAAAACAUGUGGACCCAAAAACUUUGGGAGGUAAAGAAUGGAGAGGAUCAUGUGGAAAUAAAAUAGAAUGAAGAAUUUUGUUAUCUAAAACUGAAGAUGGAAUGCGAUUAAUGAGAUAACAUGCACUAAGAACAACAUCACCCCAAAAAUACUGAGGAACAUCACCAUGGAUUAAAAUAGUACGAGUUGUUUCAACAAGAUGUCUAUUAUUGCGCUCAACUACCCCAUUUUGUUGAGGUGUAUAAGCACAUGAAGUUUGAUGAAGAAUACCAUGAGAAGCCAUAAAACUUUUAAAAGAAUGAGAAAGAUACUCACGUCCAUUAUCACUGUGCAAAAUUCGGAUGGAAAUUCCAAAUUGAUUUUUAAUUUCAUUGUAAAAUAUUUGAAAUAUAGAAAACAACUCAUAACGGUUUUUCAUUAAAAAUACCCAAGUACAUCUUGAAUAAUCAUCAAUAAAAGUAACAAAAUAUUGAAAUCCUAAAUUAGACUUAAUACGACUUGGUCCCUAAAUGUCAGUGUGAACUAAGGCAAAAGAAGAUGAAGCACAUUGUGAGACACUACUAGGAAAAGAACUACGAAUGUGCUUUCCUAACUGACACGACUCACACAAUAAAGUAGAAACAUUAGACAAACUUGGAACAAGCUGUUGCAUCUUGGCAAGACUAGGAUGACCCAACCGAGCAUGAAUGAGAGAUGGAGAAUCCAUAAUCGCGCCAACAUGUGCAGAGAUCUGUAGUUGAUAAAGUCCAUGAGACUCACAUUCGGUGGCAAUCAUCCGUCCCGAACACUGGUAAAGUAACAUAAUCUUUGUUAAAAGAAAUAACACAAUCAAGGGAACGAGUGAGACGACUAAUGGAUAAUAAGUUAAAUGGAGACCCAAGGACAUAAAGAACAUUAUCAAUAGCUAAAGAAGAAAAAAGAUUAAUAGUACCAACACCAUGUGAUGGUAUACCCCAUAUCUAUUGGUCAUGGUAAUCGAAGGUAAAUAACCUGUAGUAGAUAGGGAAGAGAAAAAAGAUUUAUUACCAGUAAUGUGAUCUGUGGCACCUAAAUCUAGAACCCAAGGGCCAAGGGAAGUGGAGUGAGUGAGGCCAACAAAAGAUGUACCUAAAUGUGCAACAGAAGCCAUGGAACUAGGGUUCUGAUGAUCCUCAUACCAUUUAAGAAAUUCAUUGAAAAUAGUAGGCUGGCCUGUGGUAUCAAUUGAAGUAUGGUCCAUAGUAGAAGGUUGCACAAGGGCAGUUUGAGCAACUGCAACAGAUUUAGGAGGACGACCAUGUAAGGCAUAACAUCUGUCAAUUUUUUGGCCAACUUUGCCACAAUGGUCACACUUGUGACGCUCUUUGCCCGACUUGUGAGGGCGAGUACGAUCAUUAUGCUGAGAGACUAAAGCAGAAGAGUCAUCAACAUGAGAUGUUAUAUCAGCGGUGUGUUUACCUGUCACACGCAAAAGGGUAGAACAAGUGGAAGUAAAAUUCGGCACGCUAGGAGAUCCCAAAAUUUGAUCACGAACAUGAGAAUAAUCAUCAGGAAGGCCAUGUAAACCCAAUAACAUGAAGAACUUGGAUCUUUGUUCGAGUUCAUGAGAAGGAGUGACGGCAGGAGGUAAUAACUCAUUAAAAUCAUGAAGAAGAGCAUGAAAUUUACCCAUAUAUUCUGUCAUUGUACCAUUAAGACGUUUGGGAGCAACAAUUGUGAGAAGAUUUUGACACACACCAUAAAGACGCUGAGUAUCAUUGGUGUAUAAUAAUUUUGCGUGUUCCCAAACUUCUGAACAUGUCUCAUAAGUACGAAAAAUUUGUUUAAAGAUGAGUGAAUGGUAGAUUUGAUAACAAUGCAUAAUUGAGCAUCAAUUUUCAACCAACGAGAAACCUCAUUUUCAGAAACAGUAGGAUGAGUAAGAUGAUCAACAUAAACAUAUGGGCUAAGCCCAUUACAUAAAUAUGAAAUAUCUAACAAUAUCUAUAAUAUCUCAUAAUAUCAAAUAAUAUAUAAUUAUAUCUAAUAAUAUCUAACAGUUCUAAUUAAUUUCUUGGGCGCAUGAUUCAAAAGAGAGGAGAUAAACAUUCCCAUGGAGUAUACGCAUGGAACAAAGUGAGUAUUGAUUAAACCAAUAGACACAUGCUUUACUGGUGAGUUUCAUUUGAAUUAGAUUGGCACAUGUUCAAUCUAGUUUAACUCUGUUGGAGGAUUAAGAAAAGAUUAAUCUUUAGAGAACCUGUGAAGAAUUCAAUGGUGGAAGAACUUGGGGAUCAAAAACUUUUUAUUUGUUAUUUUAAUCUCUUUUAUAUUUUUUGCACAACUAUCUAAACCCUUUUUUAUUAUUAUUGUUAUUGCUAACCUUUAUUGCUUGUAGAUAGAUUCUAAACACUAAUCUACUGAUUUUACUAUUGGAUUUGUUGGGAGACGACUUGGGGUCAUUUGACAAUAAUUAUACUAUCAUAUCUCUAGUGUUAGACAAGUCUACGCUAGAAUCAUAUUAAUUUGACAACAAAACGACAAUUAUCAAAUUUGGCGCCGUUGUCGGGAAAUCCAAUUUGAUUUUGGUUAUCAGGUUUCUCUUUUUAUGUGCAUAAUUUUUUUGUUUUCCUAAUUUUAUUUUCUACAUAUUUAACUUGUGUUUUUUUUAUUCGUUUUUAUUUAUUCAUUAUAGUCUAAGAAACGAAAAUUAAAUUAAAAAAAUAAAAAAUAUUGUUCCAGCCGGUUGACUGGAAAAAUCUUCGUGUGUAGCCUUGACUCACGAACAAGGACUCCUUUGUCUCCAAUGUAGAUAUUCACCCUACACCGCCGUGAGCACCUGAAACAAGGAAGAACAAAGGGCGCCCUCACGGCCGUUUGCACUCCGACGAUCAAGUCAGCAAGCAAGAAACAUCAAACACCUCCGUACCGGAGCACCGUAACUGAAUGCUCUGAAGGUAUGUAACUGAAUCGUAACUAACUUUGCUUUCUCUCUCUCUCUCUCCAACCACUUGUGCGUACAGUGAGUAAGCGAACGAAUGAUCAGAAAGUGUGUAAAGCAUGCAACUGGUAAAAGCGUACCUUCCUAAGCUUUCAGAGAAGCUUAUAUACCUUGGGUUUUAGUGCUUACUGCCACGUGUCCUUUUGACUUAACUUCUAUUCCACGUGGAAGAUCUUACAGCGCUACAACCCAACUUAGGGAAAUUCCAGUGUGUAAGUCUUCCUUCCUCGAAGUGCAUCUGACGCGAGGGGUGACUACCUGGGUGCCAACUCAUGCGCCCCAGCUUCUGGUCACUCGCCUCGGGAGUGUAUCUGCCUUCCUCUCGUACCAUGCACAUGGUUCACCCCUGGGCGUGGCCCUCUUCUGGGUCGUAUCUGUCCUAGGGAUUCUCCAGAGGUGGUGUGGAUACUUCACGAGUCAGGUUACUCCCUACUGGUACUGGGACUAUGGUCUUGAAGCCACCUUUCUCUUCCUUCCAUUAUUGCUCUGGGGUACCGGGGCCCGAGGCCUCCUCGUCCGUACCGUCACCUCUACACGUGUCAUCCCCUCAACAGUCUUCCCUACUCGUGGGUAUCGGGGGAUGGCAGCAUCAACACCUAAAUCUGGCGACGCCCACGUAUAGCGACGCCCGCUCCUGGCGACGCUCAUACCUGGUGACGCCCAAGCUUGGCGACACCCACACUUGGCGACACCCACACCUGGCGACGCCCAAAGUGGUCAACCUAUUGACUUUCUCCCUUGGGCCCUUGGUGGGUCCCACCAUAUGUUUGACUUUGACUUUGGCUUUGACUUGGUACAAAUAUAAUAUUCAAUAUAUUCUUUUAUGAUAUUUGAUUUUAUUUCUUUAUAUUAUUUUGAUUUGUCUUUAUUUUAUUUCUUUAUAUCCUUUAUUUUAAUUUUACUUUGAUUUAUAUCCUUUAUUUUAAUUUUACUUUGAUUUGAUUUGCUUUUAUUUUAUUUCCUUGUAUAGGUUAUGUUUAUCUUAUUUUUAUUUGCCUUUAUUUUAUUGCCUUAUAUUUUAUUUAUUUAUUUUAAUUUUAUUUUUUUUCCUUAUAUCUUAUAUCUUAUUUUGAUUUGAUUUGAUUUUAUUUUAUUUCCUUAUAUCUUAUAUCUUUAUCUUAUUUUGAUUUGUGAUAUUCUAUUUUAUUUUCUUAUAUCUUAUAUUUUUAUCUUAUUUUAUUUCUUUAUAUCUUUUAUCUUAAUCUUAUUUUGAUUUCCAUUAUAUUUUUUGUUUUUAAUUAUUAUUUCUUUUCUUUUCUUCCAUUUUUUAUUUAUUUUUGUUUUUUUUAUUGUUCCUGUUUUUUUUUAUAUUUUUUAUUUGUUUAUUUUUUUUCUUCAAAUAUUUUUUAGCAUUAAGUGUAACAGUUGCAUUAAUUUUUUUUAGGAUUAUGCAUUUAGGGUAGACACUUGAGUAACUACUCUUAGAUUUUUUUUUUAAAUUGAAAGCAAUUCCGAGAAGACUCUGACUAGGAAAGACUUGGUUUUUAAGUUUGUCGACAUGUGACUCACCUCUCUUUCCUGGGAGUUUACUUGAUUUGCUUUUAAAUUAAAAAAAAAGGAGUUUGCUCUGAGGCAUCUAAUAGGUGUUGGUGUCCAUAAUAUAUAUCCCCUGUUUUAAAUUCCAAAAUGGAACGAAAAUUAGCUGAACAAAUUUACAAUUAUGAUAUUCAUUAUGAGCCAUAUUUGCAUCAGUCUUCACAGUUUUAUGAGCAACUUUUGCAGCAAUGUGAGCCCUACUUUCAACAGCCUCAACAUUAUAAUUCAUAUUAUCAGCAAUAUGAGCAACAACCUCUGCAACAAUGUGAGCCUUACUUUUAGCAACCUCAGCAUUAUAAUCCAUAUUGUCAACAAUCUUAUUAGCAACCUCAACAACAACCAUUUUAUCAGCAACACUAUUUUGAUGAAAGUCAAACAUCUUUCCAACCAUUUUUUCAAAUUGAUAAUAUUCCUCAUAAUAUUGAAGAACCAACUUUAGAGGAGUUGAUGAGGCAAAUGAAGGAGAUGAACAUGAAAUAUGAUCAAGAAUGUGAGGCUAAAAAAUUGCAAUUCAAAAGGAAGAACCAACUUUAGAGGAGUUGAUGAGGCAAAUGAAGGAGAUGAACAUAAAAUAUGAUCAACAAUGAGAGGCUAAAAAAUUUACAAUUCAAAAGGAAUAACCAACUUUAGAGGAGUUGGUGAGACAAAUGAUGGAGAUGAACAUUAAAUAUGACCAAGAAUGAGAGGCUAAAAAAAAUCAAGAAGAGGCUGAUGUUGUAGCAAGAAGAGAGAAGACUGAUCAAAUGAUUAAAAAGAUUGCAAAUUAUGUUCGAGAGAUGAAAUCACCUCAUGAUCUAGAUAUAACUCUUGAUCCAGACACUGAUGGAAUGUAUAAUCUUGAAGCACCUACAUCUGCCAUAAACACUCUUGAAAAGAAGUGGAGCAUAUCAAUUGUUUCUAAAGUCAACCUGGGUGAUUUGCAAAAAGCUGAGCUGGUUGAACUUGAGAUUGCUACAUCGUUGACUGCUACAUCGUUGACUGCUACUAUCCAACCUCUACUGAUGGAGGAAAAAUCAUUGCUUAAUCAAGAGGCAUUAGACUUUAUGACACAUGCUGAUAAAAAUCAUUUCGUGCAUCAUAUAAACACUGAGGAUGAAAAUGUGCUUGAGUUUCUAGGAGAUUUUAACUUUUCCAAUCCAAUUGAAUGUACAAAGGCUAAGAUAAAUGAGUUCUUAGAAUGCACUAACCCUUGUGAUGCAGGUCUUGAUACAUAAAUUGUUGAUGCUGCUAUACUUUCCGAAUCUACUGAAAAAGAUUGCGCACUAAAUGACACUGACAAAGUUUUGGGGGUAAUACCAGAAGAGGAAGAGCAGAUGUUACCCAUAUUUAAGGUAAACACUGCUAGAAGAGAAAAAUACGAUAUUAUUCUUCCAUCCUUGAAGCUUCAAAGAAUACAACCUCCAGUAUUUAAGGUGAAACCCAUAUCACUCAUUCCAUCAUCUCCACUGGCUACACCUUUUAUCAUAAUUGGAAUGUUUGAAAGCAACCUUUACCAACCACCACCACCUCCUAACUUACAUUUGAUUCCAUCUCCACCCCAACUAGACCGUCUACCCUAAUUAGACUCUCUAGCAUUAGACCACUACCCUUAGACGAUCCCCAAAUAGCUAAUCAUAUCAGAUAAUCUAUAUUGAAGGAGAUGGGGGGAACCCGGUUGAUGAUGAAUUGCUCUUAAACAAUGUUGAGAACAAAUCAAAUGAACUGAUGUUUCCAUUAGGGUGACUGAUGAACCAGUCCAACACCAGGCCGAAGAAUGUUCCCAUAAACAGCUUGCAGUGCAUAGCAUCAAUUCCUCCCGAGAUCAUCAUUUGGGUGUGGAAGACCUUGAUGUGGGCCUCCGGGUCUUCGAUACCUGUAAAGGUGAUUUUCGGAGUCAUGAAGUUGGUGGGUAUUACCACAUUCAUGAUCGCCUGGGAAAAAGGUAUGGGGCGAGCCCUAACUGGAAUGGGCGAACUUUGCUUGUCGGUUGUGCGUUCCCCCACACGUUGCAGUUCUCUGUACAAUUCCUCAUUGGCCCUGUGCAGCUUUUUCAUUGUUUGUUCGUGACGUAUCCAAAUCGACCUGGAAUCAGUUUUGAAUGGCUAUUUGCUCGGCUUGAACCUCAGCCAGAAUCCUGUCUUGAUCAGCCUUGGAUGGCGCCACCGUUUUCUGAAGGGCGUGAAUGGUCUCCAUGAGUUGUUGCAUGGUGACGGUGUCUCCUUCUUCAAGUGCAGAUGUACCUUAUCUUGUAUUUCUCAUGUGGCUGGAUGGCUCUGAACAUGAAUGUAGAUGGGACCUAUUUUUAUUGGGCCCAUGGUGGGUGCCAAAUGUUCUUGCCGGUUGACCUGGUCGCCGAUUGACUUCAAAGGCAAGCGGUGGCUCCUUUUAUUUCUUGGUGAUUUUGUACUUCUUCUUGCUGUUGGAAAGCGGCUCCGUUGAAAUAGAGGAGCCUUACCUAUUGAUUGCACUCCGACGAUCAAAUCAGUACUGGGCUAAGAAACAAUGAGUAAAUAAGAUAGUAGUUUCAGUCUUAGAAUUGGUGUACCUUUACCAAGGAUCUCAACUCCCUUUUAUAUGCUGCUUUUAGGUUACCUCAUUGUAACGACCCCUCUCUCACCAGAGCCUUAUCUCUAAUGAAAUUAGGUUUGCUGGGAGGACAUUUUGUUACAUUGUUACACAAUCUUACCACAACAACUGCACAUAAUCUUCCUCUUUGGAGUGCACAAUCUUAACAGCAUGGCAGUCAGGGUACCAGCUCAUGUACCAAUGUUACGGGCCCAUCUGUUUUGUAGGCGCCCUAGUCCUUUUACGUAUCAUGCAUGUAACUUUUCCCUAAAAACCCUAACGCUUUUGGGCCUUGGCGUCUUCAGGGAAUACUUACUUGUGUUAGACCCGAAUGUACUAUACACACCACAUGCAUGCACUUUCUCACUGACUAGGCCUUUUAUAUAUUCAAGUUUCUACCUACACAUCUCUGGGGCCCACUUACGUGGACCACUAUCGCGACCAGACCACCAAGCCGACCUGCUCCAUGUUCGAUGCCGAUGUUCGAAGUCUGGUCCAGUACAAUAAUAAUAAUAAUAAUAAUAAUAAUAAUAAUAAUAAUAGUAAUAAUAAUAAUAAUAAUAAUAAUAAUAAUAAUUAUUAUUAUUACUAUUAUUAUUAUUACUAUUAUUAUUAGUAUUACAUUAUUAUUAUUAUUAGUAUUAUUACAUUAUUAUUAUUAUUAUUAUUAUUAUUAUUAUUAUUAUUACAUUAUUAUUAUUAUUAUUAUUAUUAUUAUUAUUAUUAUUAUUAUUAUUACUAUUCUUAUUACUAUUUAUUACUAUUAUUAUUAUUACUAUUAUUAUUAUUAUUAUUUUUGCUAUUAUUACUAUUAGUAUUAUUAUUAUUAUUAUUUAUUAUGAAAUAUAUUUAAAAUAAUCACUUUAAAAUAUGAAUUAUUUUGAAAAAAAAAAAAUUUAUGUUAUUAAUAUAGUAUUUUCUAGAUGUAACUUUCUUUUAUCAUGUUUUAUUCCUUUUUUUUCACAAUAUGUUUUUUACGAACAAUAAUAAUCAUAAAUUUUUUUUAGAUAUUUAAGAAGGUUUUAAAUAAUUAGUAAUAAUUCAUUUUAAAUAACAAUUAAGGGUUAGAUUCAAGAGAUAACAUAUACAUAUAUUAAAUUUAGGAAUAAUUUUUUAAUUUGACUAAUCAUCUAUAAAAUUCAUGAACGUUGGUGUGUUUUCUUUAAAAGGUUAAUGUCAACGUUGCCAUUUACUACCUAUUAACUGGCUAUACAUUCUACAUUGGUCCAAUCAAGAGCUACCAAUAACCCUUCAACCUCACUCUUUACACAUAUUUUACUAUCCUACAUGUAGAGGGAUAAAAUGUAUUUAUACUAGUUUUUAAUUAAAAUUAUUAAUUUCUCUCAAUAACUCAUGAAGAUUUUUAAUACAUUUGUUAACGAAAAUUAAUUAGAAGACAUUGAGAGAAUAUACACGCACAAGUUAUUUAUAAUAUUAUGUUUUCUCCUUUUCUCUUUUUCUCCAUACAUAUUAACUCAUGUACAAAGUUAAGUACAAUGUAAAAAUAUUUAGAGAUCAUAUGUGCAUGUGUUAUUAACUCUUUAAAGUUUAUUUAACUAGGAGUUGUUAAUCGAUAUCUUGUACAUAGUUAGAGAGUUGUAAAUAGUAUAUAUAUGAGUAUAAUAUAACAUUUUUUGUUAUAUAUAUUGUAAUAAAUUUAUUAAUUAUCUUCAAAAUUAUAUGAAAAGUUAUAUCUAACCAAUACAAACACUCUGUAAAUUAUAUAUUUUCACAAUUAAUAGUAUGAUUAUAUUUGUAAUUUUUGUGAUGCUACACAAUAAUAUAAAAUAUUAUAAAUUAUACAUUUAACCAAGAAUGAAAUAGUUUUAAAAUUAGAUUUAGAAAAUAUCUUCGUAUUUUUAAUUUAGAGUAUAUUUUCUGUGUUUUCUUUAAAUUUCUUGUAAUAUCUCUCUUUUCUUUUCAUAUGUUAAUCCCUUUAAUUAUGUUAAACAAUAAUAAUACAGUAACAUGUCUUAUAAGUUACACUAACUCUUUAGUUUUUAAAUAAAACUCAUUGGAUCUGAAGGGAGAUUAAUGGAAAGAACAAGGAACUAGUAAAGAAAAAUUAAAAAUUAUUAUAAGAAAAAUAUUAUAUAAAAAUUAAUCUUAAAAAUAAAAAAUAAUUAAUUAAAUUAAAUAAUAUUUUAGAGACUAAAAAAAUUUAUUAAUAUCAAAAUUAAUUUUUAUUAUUAAUAAAAUUAAUAAAUUAAUUUUUAAAUUAAUAUUUAAUUAUUUAUUAAUGUUUUAGUUAUUAUUAUUUUAUAUUCUUGCUGAUAAAAAAAAAUACUUUAUAUUGUAAAAUUAGUUACUAAACUUGUAUUAGCUAAUUAUAUAAUUUAAAAAAGAGUUUGUAAAUUUUAUUAAUAAUAUAAACUAUUUUAAAUAUCAAUAAUUUUUUAAUUUUUAAAAUAAUUAAAUUGGUUAAGCUAGCUGUGAUAACUUUGUCUAUUUUGGAUGAUAUUACGUAUGAAGAAUUAUGCUCGUUUUCAGGAUAAGAUUGAGUUUUCUAGGGCUAUUUUGGUUAAUAAAGAUUUAACUUGUCUAGUGGGUAAUUCAUCUAAAGCUUCAAUGAAGAAUGAUAUAUUCGAUUUCAAUGUAUUCAAGUUUUUUUGGUAUUAACACUCGUACUGGUAAAGUUCUACGUCCUCUUCCUGUUAGAUGAAAGUUUCUUUCACCAGACUGGGUUAAAAUUAACACUGAUGGGGCUGCUAGGGGUUAUCUAGGUUUUGCCGCUUGUGGAAGUAUUUUUCGUGAGAGUAUGGGGGGAUUUUAUUGGAGUUUUCUCUGUGUUUCUUGACCUUCAGACUGCUUUGGUUGCUGAUUUUAUGGAGUUAUAUAUGCUUUGGAGGAAGCUCAAAAGUUGGGUGUUACUAAUGUUUGGCUAGAAUGUAACUCUGCCUUGGUUUGUGCUGCGUUUACUGCUAGGAAAGAUGUUCCUUUAAUGUUUCGUAAUCGAUGAAAUACUUGUCUUAAUAAUUGUGGAAAAAUCAGGUUUAUGGUUACUCAUAUUUUUCGUGAAGGGAAUGCGUGUGCUGAUAAGUUGGCUAAUUUAGGAUUUUUUUUCAUAGAUAAUCCUUUCAUUGGUAUAAUAGGCUUCCAUCUAUCUGUUCUUAGAAUUAUUUAUUAAUAGGUUUAGUAUACCUAUGCAUCGUUUUUGUUAACAUAUGAAUUUUGGUUUAGUUCCCUCAUAUAUUUGUAUUUUUUUUUAAUAAUACUUUUUUUAUGUGAUGACAAAUGAUUAUUGUUACUUGAAAUAACAUAGUGAGUGAGGCUUAACAUGAAAACUUUUUAUAAAAAAAAAAAUUUACUUUAAUUAAUAUAAUAUUAAUUUUUUAUUUUAAAAUUAAUUUUUAUAUUAAAAUUAAUUUUUAUUUAAUAUUUUUUUUUAGUAAAUAGAGAUAUAAGGUUUGUGUCAGUGCUAUAUUAUUUUUUUAUUUGGCUUUAUAUUUUAAUGUGGAACUAUGACUAUUUUCUUUUGGAGAAAAUAAAAUCAGAUUGAUUAGGCAACUAUAAAAGGGGACAGAAGCUUUGGGUAAUAGCAGAAUCAAAAGCCUUUGGAGAUAAGUUGGGAGAAAAUGGGGUCACUAUUUGCCAUUGCCACUCUCACUCUUUUCUUUGCCAUGCUCUCUCUCACCUUGGCAACUCACGACAGGGACGACAGGGACGACAGGGACCGUCAUCGCCGCCGUUCUCCUCCACCUCCAGUUCACAAGUACAGGCCACCACCUCCACCACCUCCCAGGAGGCCACAUACCUCACCAUCCCCACCACCUCCCAGAAGGACACGCAGGUCACCACCCCCACCACCACACCAUAAGUCACCGCCACCNNNNNNNNNNNNNNNNNNNNNNNNNNNNNNNNNNNNNNNNNNNNNNNNNNNNNNNNNNNNNNNNNNNNNNNNNNNNNNNNNNNNNNNNNNNNNNNNNNNNCUUAAUCAUUUUAAGAUGCAUUCAUAUUUCUAGCGUGAAAACUUUGUGGUUCUAUUAAUUCUAUGUGAUGAAAACUGAUAGUAUAAGCGCAUGCACACGUACGUGUGGUUUUUCAGGAAAUGAAGAACGUGUCCAAAUAAAGAAGAUGGAAAAAGCAGCAUCUACUGAAAAAUGGAACGCGUUUUUGUGAAGCUAGUAUUCAUUUGGUUUCACUUUCUUUAUAUAUUUACAUAUUUCAAGUUUUAAGAGACACUUCAAUCUGAUCCAUGUCUCUCUUUCUCCUGCAUGCGUUGCGGUUUUCAAACUGCUGCCCAUGCACUGUGUUUUAUUAUUCCAACUUAUAUCAUAUCAUAUAAUAAAUAAAUACCCUAAAUUUAUCACUCUUAACUUCCCAUUAUUUAUUAUAUAAAUUUCGUAUGAGAAAUGCUAAUGGAUGCGGAAUAUACUUC
rnacentral:lncRNA from 1 species